rnacentral:tRNA from 1 species
GCAACAGUAGCUCAGUAGUAGAGCCCCCGCUUCGCGUGCGGGGAGACCCGGGUUUGAUUCCCGGCCGCUUCC